UGAAAGGAGUGCCUCAUUGGCACCCUCCCUUCAUCUCUUUGUAUGAUGCAGCUGAUAACCCCUACACCUGCACUUUUAAGGCUGGCGCUCGCAUCUUUAUCUCUCAGUAUUUUGGCUAACUUGUUAAUUCUCUCUUGAGCCUGAUCUUCAUCACCACUGCAAACAAUGGAAGGCUGGCGCUCGCAUCUUUGUCUCUCAGUAUUUUGGCUAACUUGUUAAUUCUCUCUUGAGCCUGAUCUUCAUCACCACUGCAAACAAUGGUUUGUACCAUAAGUCAGUUUCUCGCAAAUAAUUGGACCAGAUACACAUGUAAAAUAUUUAACCAUGCCAGCAGAUAGAGGUCUAUCCUAUUACUUCCUUUUAACGGGCAUCUAUUUAUAUGUGCCUCAUGAUUUAUCCAUAUAUCUAACUUAAAAGUUACUUUAGCAGUAGAAAGU
rnacentral:lncRNA from 1 species